GUCAAUCACGCCGCUCUCAAGAGCGAAGUUUGACAAAGUUUCUGGUUGACUUGCCCCAGUGCUUUGGCCACUCCAUUGGGAUCGUCACGACAUCAUGGGUUACGCGUCCUCGUCCCAUGCCCUGUC
rnacentral:sRNA from 19 species